UACCAUAACCCACUCCACCUACCACCUCCACUACCACACACACUCACCUACUUCACCUACUUUCCUACACCUACCACACACACUCACCUACUCCCAAAUCCUCUCCUAUAUAAUAGGAAGCCUUGUAAUAUCAACAGUACAACAAUCAGAUAUCAAUAUCAAUCAAUAAUACAUAAAUAUUUUUUGCAAUAAACAUGUUUAAACAUUUAUGCAUGAAUAUGUCUAUAUUACUAACUAUUGGGGCGUUGCGAGAACCAAUUUGUGCACAAUUUCAGACUAGAUGAACUUGCACUUGACGAGUUAAGGACAAGACGACUGAAACAGAAUCAAAAGAAAGAAACAAAAACUGACUAGGCUAAUUUAAAUUACAAUUCACAAGUAAUAGGAAUGAGCUGAAGCUCGUCUCGUUAGCACUCUAAAUACAAUAUUGUUACAACAGAAAGAAAAAAAAAAUGAUGCAAUACUAGAUAGGGAUGGCAAUAUGAAACCGGCCCGACGGUGACCCGACCCCCCGACCCCGAAUUCAGCGGUUAUUCACCGAAAAAUAUCCCCUACGGGCCGGAGACGGUAUUCAAAAAUUCAUUCCCGAUGAUAUCCGAGCCAGGGACGGGGAUAUGUGUUUCAGAACCGGACCCGCCCCGCCCCGCCCCGGCCCGCAUGGUCCCCGAGGUAAAAUGACCCUUUUGUCCCUGGAUAUAUAUAUGCAUAUGCUUGUCUUUGUUAGGGUUUCACAGACACACACACUCAAAGCCUCUCUCACACACGCCGCUCCUCUCUCUCUCUCUCUCUCUCUCUCUCUCACUACUGGUCUAUCCCUCUCUCUUCCCUCCGUCACCGCCGCACCUCCCUCCGUCACCGACGAUCCUCCCUCCGUCACCACCGUGCCUCCCAUCUCUGUUUAGAAUUGCCAUCAAGCAGAGGAGAGGACCUGCAAUCUAAGUGCUUGCUUGAACUCUACGGACUGGAGAAUUGCCAUCAAGCAGAGGAGAGGACCUGCAAUCAAAGUGCUUGCUUGAACUAUACGGACUGGAGGUAUUUUGAUUCUAUUGCUUCCUUGCAUGUGGAGCUUAUAUUGAUCAGACACAGUUUGACAGUGAUUAUUUGAACUAAUGGAAGAUAUAAUUUGGUUACAUUUUGUUAAAAUGAUUAUUGCCACAAAUC